rnacentral:rRNA from 1 species
GAUGAACGCUGGCGGCGUGCCUAAUACAUGCAAGUCGAGCGAACAGACGAGGAGCUUGCCCCUCUGACUUUAGCGGCGGACGGGUGAGUAAAACGUGGAUAACCUACCUAUAAGACUGGGAUAACUUCCGGAAACCGGAGCUAAUACCGGAUAACAUUUUGAACACCAUGGUUCAACAGUGUAAGACGGUUUUGCUGUCACUUAUCCAUGGAUCCGCGCCGCAUUAGCUAGUUGGUAAGGUAACGGCUUACCAAGGCAACGAUGCGUAGCCGACCUGAGAGGGUGACCGGCCACACUGGAACUGAGACACGGUCCAGACUCCUACGGGAGGCAGCAGUAGGGAAUCUUGCGCAAUGGGCGAAAGCCUGACGGAGCAACGCCGCGUGAGUGAAGAAGGUCUUCGGAUCGUAAAACACUGUUAUUAGGGAAGAACAAAUGUGUAAGUAAAUAUGCACGUAUUGACGGUACCUAAUCAGAAAGCCACGGCUAACUACGUG